rnacentral:rRNA from 1 species
GACGAAGGGGGCUAGCGUUGUUCGGAAUUACUGGGCGUAAAGCGCGUGUAGGCGGUUGCCCAAGUCGGGUGUGAAAGCCCUCAGCUCAACUGAGGAAGUGCGCCCCGAAACUGCAGAGCUUGAGUGCCGGAGAGGGUGGCGGAAUUCCCCAAGUAGAGGUGAAAUUCGUAGAUAUGGGGAGGAACACCGGUGGCGAAGGCGGCCACCUGGACGGUAACUGACGCUGAGACGCGAAAGCGUGGGGAGCAAACAGG